rnacentral:rRNA from 1 species
UACGGAGGGUGCAAGCGUUAUCCGGAUUCACUGGGUUUAAAGGGUGCGUAGGCGGGUAGGUAAGUCAGUGGUGAAAUCCUGGAGCUCAACUCCAGAACUGCCAUUGAUACUAUCUAUCUUGAAUAUUGUGGAGGUAAGCGGAAUAUGUCAUGUAGCGGUGAAAUGCUUAGAUAUGACAUAGAACACCUAUUGCGAAGGCAGCUUACUACGCAUAUAUUGACGCUGAGGCACGAAAGCGUGGGGAUCAAACAGG